rnacentral:tRNA from 1 species
GGGCAGAGAGCUCAGUAGUAGAGCGCAUGCUUAGCAUGCAUGAGGUCCUGGGUUCAAUCCCCAGUUCGUCCA